rnacentral:rRNA from 1 species
GAUGAACGCUAGCUACAGGCUUAACACAUGCAAGUCGCGGGGCAGCAUGGGGGUUGCUUGCAAUCCCCGAUGGCGACCGGCGCACGGGUGAGUAACGCGUAUCCAACCUGCCCUUCACCACGGGAUAACCCGGCGAAAGUCGGACUAAUACCGUAUGUUGUCCAUUGACGGCAUCCGAUUUGGACGAAAGGCUUGGCGGUGAGGGAUGGGGAUGCGUCCGAUUAGCCAGACGGCGGGGUAACGGCCCACCGUGGCUACGAUCGGUAGGGGUUCUGAGAGGAAGGUCCCCCACACUGGAACUGAGACACGGUCCAGACUCCUACGGGAGGCAGCAGUGAGGAAUAUUGGUCAAUGGGCGUAAGCCUGAACCAGCCAAGUGGCGUGCAGGAUGACGGCCCUAUGGGUUGUAAACUGCUUUUAUGCGGGGAUAAAGUGGCCCACGUGUGGGCUUUUGCAGGUACCGCAUGAAUAAGGACCGGCUAAUUCCGU